GACUGUGUAACUCCUAGUUGAGUGUGAAGACCUGAGGUAUCAGGGGUAGGGGUUGCUCUGCUUGUGUAAGUCCCAUAGUGUGAAGGCCAGAGAACCAAGAGAUGGUCAAGAAGAGAGAGUAAGUGUCCAAUGUCCCAGCUCAAGAAGAGAGAAAACUUUUGUGGAUAGCUAAGUUACUGCUAGCCAUCUGAUUAUAGCAAUGGCUUCCAGGAGCAUCACGACCUGUGCAGACUCCCCAGCAUCAUAACAGGAAGGUCCCACGAUCACGAGCACAUUGCCUUCAGCAUCCAGCACUGAAUAUGGUGAAUUGCACUCUGAAGAGCUUCCUAAGCUUGUAAGAAAGUGAUUCUGAAAAGCUCAACAUUUUGGUAGAAUGGAGAGAUUUGACAUUGCUUCUGCUCCAAAAGCAAAAGACUUGGGAAGGGCACCCUGGGAGUUGAGAACAUCCACCACAGAGAGCCCAGAAGCUAAAAAUCACCUGCCAUCUUGGAAAUAAUCCCUGGAGGAUCAAGUCCAAGGGGGAGAAGUGGACUGGUCACCCCAGCCGAGGUUAUCUAAGUUCCAUGGCUUACUCCAGACAGGAAGCCCCACAUCCUGCAGCCUCAUUCAUAAUCCAUAAUAGAUGGUGUUCUUGGAUCCCAAGUUGAGAAAAGAAGUUAACUAUGCACAUUUUGGCAAAGAUGCAGACCAGGGUUUGAUCUAAGCAGCUAUCACAUAAAAUAAUAAAGUACAAAUGGAAAUGGCAAAAA
rnacentral:lncRNA from 1 species